rnacentral:rRNA from 1 species
UACGUAGGGGGCAAGCGUUGUCCGGAUUUAUUGGGCGUAAAGAGCGUGUAGGCGGCCUUACAGGUCAGCUGUGAAAACUCGAGGCUCAACCUCGAGAUGUCGGCGGAAACCAUUUGGCUAGAGUCCGGAAGAGGAAAGUGGAAUUCCUGGUGUAGCGGUGAAAUGCGCAGAUAUCAGGAAGAACACCCGUGGCGAAGGCGGCUUUCUGGGACGGUACUGACGCUGAGACGCGAAAGCGUGGGGAGCGAACAGG